rnacentral:tRNA from 2 species
GCCCCCGUAGCCCAAUUGGCAGAGGCAGCCGGCUUAAACCCGGUCCAGCGCGGGUUCGACCCCCGCCGGGGGUA